GACGAACGCUGGCGGCGUGCUUAACACAUGCAAGUCGAACGGUGAACCAGGGCUUGCCCUGGGGAUCAGUGGCGAACGGGUGAGUAACACGUGGGCAACCUGCCCCUGACUCUGGGGUAACUCCUCGAAAGAGGUGCUAAUACCGGAUACGACCACUUCGGGCAUCCGAUGGUGGUGGAAAGAAUUUUGGUCAGGGAUGGGCCCGCGGCCUAUCAGCUUGUUGGUGGGGUAACGGCCCACCAAGGCGACGACGGGUAGCCGGCCUGAGAGGGCGACCGGCCACACUGGGACUGAGACACGGCCCAGACUCCUACGGGAGGCAGCAGUGGGGAAUAAUUGCGCAAUGGGCGAAAGCCUGACGCAGCGACGCCGCGUGAGGGACGACGGCCUCGGGUGUAAACCUCGUUCUAGCAGGACGAAGCG
rnacentral:rRNA from 1 species